GGUGUCGGCUUAAGUGCCAUAACGAGCGCAACCCUUAUCGAUAGUUACUAGCAGGUUAUGCUGAGGACUCUAUCGAGACUGCCGUCGUAAGAUGUGAGGAAGGUGGGGAUGACGUCU
rnacentral:rRNA from 1 species